CCUACGGGAGGCUGCAGUGGGGAAUAUUGCACAAUGGGGGAAACCCUGAUGCAGCGACGCCGCGUGAGCGAAGAAGUAUUUCGGUAUGUAAAGCUCUAUCAGCAGGGAAGAAAAUGACGGUACCUGAGUAAGAAGCUCCGGCUAAAUACGUGCCAGCAGCCGCGGUAAUACGUAUGGAGCAAGCGUUAUCCGGAUUUACUGGGCGUAAAGGGAGCGUAGGCGGCCUGCCAAGUCUGAUGUGAAAUACCGGGGCUCAACCCCGGGGCUGCAUUGGAAACUGGCAGGCUGGAGUGCCGGAGAGGCAGGCGGAAUGCCUAGGGUAGCGGUGAAAUGCUUAGAGAUCAUGAAGAACUCCGAGCGCGAAGGAAAGUGUCCGGGGUGCAACUGACGCGGAGGCUCGAAAGUGCGGGUAUCAAACAGGAUUAGAUACCCCUGUAGUC
rnacentral:rRNA from 1 species